rnacentral:rRNA from 1 species
GAUGAACGCUGGCGGCGUGCCUAAUACAUGCGAGUCGAGCGAACAGACGAGGAGCUUGCUCCUCUGACGUUAGCGGCGGACGGGUGAGUAACACGUGGAUAACCUACCUAUAAGACUGGGAUAACUUCGGGAAACCGGAGCUAAUACCGGAUAAUAUAUUGAACCGCAUGGUUCAAUAGUGAAAGACGGUUUUGCUGUCACUUAUAGAUGGAUCCGCGCCGCAUUAGCUAGUUGGUAAGGUAACGGCUUACCAAGGCAACGAUGCGUAGCCGACCUGAGAGGGUGAUCUGCCACACUGGAACUGAGACACGGUCCAGACUCCUACGGGAGGCAGCAGUAGGGAAUCUUCCGCAAUGGGCGAAAGCUUGACGGAGCAACGCCGCGUGAGUGAUGAAGGUCUUCGGAUCGUAAAACUCUGUUAUUAGGGAAGAACAAAUGUGUAAGUAACUAUGCACGUCUUGACGGUACCUAAUCAGAAAGCCACGGCUAACUACGUG